CGCAAGUUUUGCCAAGUAACGAAGAGAGCGAGGAGCUCCGAGAUCGUGUACCGGUAUAUGCCUGGUGUUUAAGUCAACUAAGAAAGGGCGGAUUAUCGCUUUGGUGUCAGUUAUUAACACUCGGACACCUGCGCCGUGGGAUAAGUUGCUAUCGCUCCGGACAGGGCUAGCAUCCGCGACUUAUCUUACAACUUCUUACUUCUCUAUUUGGCUUGGAUCAAGGUUUCUUUUGCGUUCACUUGCGAUGUUCUGAGUGUGUUAUAAAGGAUUGGGACUGAUGAAGGGAGUUGAGGAGUUCUACCAAACACAACGGAGAAAGGAGUAUAAUUAGUUCCUUCAUAGACAGAAGUAUUAUACCCUUAUAGAAAU